rnacentral:lncRNA from 1 species
GUUUGUUUUCUAAAUCCAUUCUGUGCAUUUCACAGCCCUUCGUUAGCACCUAUUCUUUUGCCACUGUUUCUAAUUGAGCUACUUUUAGCUCAUGGAUUGAGUUUCAGGUGGACACGGGAGCGGUGAUGGACUCGAAGGGGCAGGUAGAGAUGUUCGCUUAGCACGCUAUGUAAGUGGACCACAACUUGGCAAAGCGUAAAAGGAAUCUGAAGUAGGGAAGCAAGAACCGAUACAGGGGAGACGACAGAAUGGCUUUGACAAAGACCGGCGUUUGAUUUUGGUUACAGGAAUGUCAAAAAACUAAGGAUGAUUGGCAUAACUAUUGCAUUUGCAGUGAGCCUGGAUAAUAGGCCUAAAAGUGAAUCUUUUUCUGAAUCCACUGGAUAGUUAGCAUUUUUGUGGACUUCUCAAGCUACUUUUCCCCUAUACUUUGAGAAUGCUGCUAAGAAUGCAAAUAUUUUUUGCUCUAUGCAUCCUAGGUAAGUAAGUUAGGCUACUUGCAUUCUGCUAACUUUUAUAGGAUUCAAAUUAUUAAGCGAAUUUACAUAUGUUUGAGGCAUGCUAUGUAUUUGUUUUUUAGUGUUAGUUUUUAUUCUUCAGCUUAGAUGUAUGAUACUAGUUGGUGUAUUUUAUUUUAUUAUAGGGAUGGUUUGCGAAGCCGCAAGACCAGUGCGCUCAUUGUCACGAGCUGUAUCAAGAAAAGGUCCCGCAGACGCCAGCAAGUUUGACAGAAACAUAGAAGAAUUGAUAGAGCGAAUACACGAUUUAUCCAACGAAAAUCACAACGUUGAUGCCAAUGCCAGGGGCGGCAUCAGCGCAGAAGAAAUUUUAGAGGACCCAAAUGUCAGGACAGGUGGCACCGUGUUAGAGGGCAUUGACUUGAGCGCUUAUUAUGGUGUUCUGGGCAAGGUAUUUGCCAUGUAUAGACCACUAAUAGAAGAUGGAUUUAUAGAAAACCUCCCUAAAACGUUUGUGUGCAUUUUGUCUGGGAGAACGGACUGUGGCUUGGAGGCAGAAUUGACAAAGACUGUAUCACUUGAGCUUGGCAAACCGCUACUGUCGCUUCUAUCAUCUGUCAAAUCUCAGACAUGCACAAGAAGCAGUACAAGUUCAGAACCGUCACUUUUUCAAAGAUCCUACCUCAGAGUAGACGAUUCCACAGUAGAACAAUUCAGUGUUUUUCAGGAGAUAAUGACUGCUUUGUCACAUCUUUCCUUAUCUGAUAAAGUUAUGUCUGCUUGGACUGGUCUAAUAGACAUGGCAUUUCCUGCUAUAGUGACACAUUGUUCAGAAUUCAUAUUGACAUUUCUCCAAACCCCAAUGGAUUAUGUAAAAAUAGCACUGCAAUUUGGAAUUGCAAUUCCCGCUCUGGACCAAAAUGAACAAUGUCAGCAAGGGGAUCUAAAGCAGCUCCUGAUGUGGGGUAUACGUCACAAUGUGAGCUGGUCCUUUGGUGACACCAUCUUGGACAUGUUCCUGACUCCAGAAUCAACACUGUGCAGCUACCCAGACCCAGACUGCCAGAGCCUCCCCACAGUCUCCUUCAGCCGUACCCUCAAAGCGGUAGAGGACAACCCCACUGCCCUGCUGAGGUGUGACCACGACAACCUAGCCCGUUUCAACGACACCCUGUGCGCUGACAUCAUCACAGUGGGCCUACAGAGCUCCUCAACACUUUCCACUUUCUGCAACGCUCUGAGCAUCCUGAACCCCACUGAGGUGGAACAGGUGUGGAGUAACACCUGUCAUGUUAUCCAGGCUCUACUGUUGCCCCUCCUGGAGGACAGGUCUGACUGCAGUGGGGACAUGCCGGCCGCGCCUCCCCCAGGCCCACGGGUCUCAAGAUCGCUCAGCCUCAGCCAGCUGCUGUGCAACUACGGCAACUGGACCAAUGCUAGUGACGUGGACGCAGGCCUGGUGACACUGUGUAGUGAAAAUGACAGACAAAAAUUCAUCCUAGCGGUGUGCAGCAAUAUCCAGCUAAUGCAGGCAUUGAUGAACAACAAUCCUAACAAUAGCUGGCUGUGGAAUUUCUGUGUUAACUCCUCUGAUGGAUACAUGGUGAGUCAGUUCUGUAGGUAUCAGACCUGGACGGCGGAGACAGUCGACCCAACCAUGGUGGCCGUCUGCUGGGACCAGGACAAGGAGAGGCUGAAGAUCCUCCUCUGUCAGAACCUGGACUUCUUCACGGUUGUGUUUUCACAUGUUGACAACAACUGGCUGCAGCUUAACUGUACAGAGGCCCCGGCACAGCCAGAUAUAAACUCUCUGGUGGCGGCUUCCUGCCAGUACUCAGAAUGGCGAAACGUGAUGGAAAUCACCAUAGAGAUGAUAUCCAUGUGCAUCCAGAAUGAUGACAAGGGUUUUGUACUGGAGGUGUGCGCCAAUGCCACCUUUCUGAAUGAACUGCUCCGUAAUAGUGCUACUGUAUGGGUUGGAGAAUACUGCACUGUCUCCCUUAACUCUCCACCCACCAACCCGCCUGUGGUGUUCAGCAUCCCAGACUGGUGCAACUAUGAUAAGUGGAGCAAGGUGCUGGUGGACCCGUCAAUGGUGGAGCUCUGCUGGCGACACGACCAGAUGGGUUUUAAUAAGAACGUGUGCUGCAACAUGCCCCUGUUAGAGAAGCUCACUUUGGAGCCCCAGAACGAGUGGCUCAUGUCUGUCUGUGUCGACAAGGAGACCAAGGACAUCCUGCCCCAGGUGUGCAAAUACUCUGACUGGAACAAGCCCAUCAUUGUAGACAUGACUGAUCUGGCUCUCUGUGCUGAGCUGGACUCUCUGAACUUCACUCAGAAGGUGUGCGCCAACACCACGGUGCUCCAGAACCUGCUAGCCAACCCUGACAAUACAUGGCUGUUGGCGUAUUGUGCAAACCACACUGGCCCCGGCGGUGGAGGGGGACAGGGAGGAGGCCUGAUGGGGUUUAAGCCAGUAGAACAAUGCCAGUACCACAGCUGGACAGUGGCACUUCCUGACACCUCUCUCCUGACCCUGUGCUGGGACUACGAUCAGGCCAACUUUGUCUCAUCCAUCUGCACCAACACUGGCCUCCUCUCCCUGCUCACCAAGGAGCCCUACAGCCUGUGGGUGGGCACGCUCUGUACCACCUACACCAACUACACCAAAGGAAACAGCCAGGGAAAAAGCAACAACACCUCCACAGACUCCCAGCCCUGCCUGGUCAGAGACAUUGUGAGGAGGCUGAACUGGACUUGUACUGCAGACUUCAGCUCAGCCUGUCAGCCAGGCUCCAGUCAGACGCAGGCUCUGCAGCUGCUUUUGCGCUGCGGGGUGAAGGCCCUGCAGCAUCGCUUGGAGGGGCUCCUGACCCCACACACGGCCUCUGUGGUGGACCAGGCCACCAGUGUGGCCGUGGUGCUGUUGGUGGCCCUGGAGGAGAGCCAGAUGAUGUCUCUACGUGUGACUGAAAACAUCCGCUUCAAUGUGCUCAAGUCUGUGGUGCUCUAUCUAGAGAAGGAGACCAACUUUGACAACAAGAGGAUCCUGCUGCAGUGCUUUGGGGUAGGUGGGCUGGGCAGACUUUAUCUACAGAUAAAGAAUUCCAACAUUGUGUGUAUUGUAAAUUGCUACAUUGAACAGUGGUGGUCAUCUAUACAUUUCCCUCAUGUCACAAACCUGUUUUCUGCUGUUUUGGCUUUUCAACUGAUUCAUGUCUAAGGACAUUUAGAUCGGACCCAUUCUAGUCUAGUGGAAAUGUCAUAUGACUAACUUUUUUGUUGUUGUUGAGGUAACUAAUCAUCUAUAUCAAUUACCAUGAGGGCUAUUGUUGUGUCAACCGACGGUGUACACAGUUUCACACAUGUCAUUGAUAGUGGACAUUAAAUCUCUUCCCCUGGAUGAGAUUAACUGACAUUGAUGUGAUUGAAUGACAAUCCAACACUAAUCUCUAAUCACUUGUGUUUAUUAUUGUUGAUACUGUGUUGUUGCUGUUGUCCAUCUUGAUUUUUUUUCUUCUUGAACCAUUCAAACGAUAAGCUUGAAGAUUUGUUUGCCCGUAACAGAAAGUACUGACCAGUUUGAUGCAAACAGGAAGACUUGGGAACAGUGAUGGAUUUUUCCUCAUCAAGGUGACAGAAGUAGGACUGAUACUUAUUUGGUCCUUUUACAUUUGUGACUGGUGAUAUAGUUACUAACAAAUACACACCCCUACGUAUUUAUUUGGACAGUGAAGCUAAAAUGUUUAAUUUAGCUCUAUACUCCAGCAUUUUGGAUUUGAGAUCAAAUGUUUUAUAUGAGGCGACAGUACAGAAUGUCCUCUUUUAUUUGAGGUAUUUUCAUACCUCAGAAAUAAAAGCACUUGAUGUAUCUAGUCCCCUCAUUUGAAGACAAAAGUUUAGUGUUUGGUCCCAUAUUCCUAGCACGCAAUGAGUAGCAUCAUGGUAGAAUCCACAUUAAUGCAGAAGUGUUCAGAAACAUAUUAUAUUCUUAUUGACAAUAAAACUGACUCCAAAAUUGACACAAUAAAUGAUUUACCAUUCAUUUCUAUUGAGCACAACAUAAUCUGAAACACAACCGAAACAAAAUGCAAAUGCACCCAACAAGUUUGUAAAGUCAAAAGCUUGAUGUCGUCAUAGCGUGGAAAAAAUAUGGCAUCAAAUACUAAACUUUUGUCAAAAUGUAAUAUGAACCCACCAUGGAAAGGUGACUCUCACGAACACAUGUGUUGCUCUACGACGCCCACAAGCUUCACAUCACCCGUCUGAAGGUAACCCGCUGCCAGUUUUAAAAAGGAAUGAUAAUAAAUUCCUGAACUUUCUUAUAUCUCUCAGAUAUAGGACAAACACUUCAAAACAUACUUUCUUUUGAUAAAUGAUUUUGACUCUCUGUUUUGCCGUGUCUGAAUAUGUUAUUCAAUAUGUUUCUAUGGGCUAAUAGCAGUGAGGCCAAAUUCAAUGUUUCAUCAAAUGUUUUUUCAAUACUUUUUGGGAUACCUACAGGGGUUCUAAAAUUCUAAAUCAAAUAGCUAAAUGAUCCUUGGUGUGACCAUCUUAAAACAAUUCCAUAAGUUAGCUUUGUAGACACCCAGGCCCAGGCCCUUUGACCAUAAGUGAAUUUGUCCAAAUACAGUGCCUUGCGAAAGUGAACUUUGCAACCUUUUGCCACAUUUCAGGCUUCAAACAUAAAGAUAUAAAACUGUAUUUUUUUUGUGAAGAAUCAACAACAAGUGGGACACAAUCAUGAAGUGGAAAAACAUUUAUUGGAUAUUUCAAACUUUUUUAACAAAUCAAAAACUGAAAAAUUGGGCGUGCAAAAUUAUUCAGCCCCUUUACUUUCAGUGCAGCAAACUCUCUCCAGAAGUUCAGUGAGGAUCUCUGAAUGAUCCAAUGUUGACCUAAAUGACUAAUGAUGAUAAAUACAAUCCACCUGUGUGUAAUCAAGUCUCCGUAUAAAUGCACCUGCACUGUGAUAGUCUCAGAGGUCCGUUAAAAGCGCAGAGAGCAUCAUGAAGAACAAGGAACACACCAGGCAGGUCCGAGAUACUGUUGUGAAGAAGUUUAAAGCCGGUUUUGGAUACAAAAAGAUUUCCCAAGCUUUAAACCUCCCAAGGAGCACUGUGCAAGUGAUAAUAUUGAAAUGGAAGGAGUAUCAGACCACUGCAAAUCUACCAAGACCUGGCCGUCCCUCUAAACUUUCAGCUCAUACAAGGAGAAGACUGAUCAGAGAUGCAGCCAAGAGGCCCAUGAUCACUCUGGAUGAACUGCAGAGAUCUACAGCUGAGGUGGGAGACUCUGUCCAUAGGACAACAAUCAGUCGUAUAUUGCACAAAUCUGGCCUUUAUGGAAGAGUGGCAAGAAGAAAGCCAUUUCUUAAAGAUAUCCAUAAAAAGUGUUGUUUAAAGUUUGCCACAAGCCACCUGGGAGACACACCAAACAUGUGGAAGAAGGUGCUCUGGUCAGAUGAAACCAAAAUUGAACUUUUUGGCAACAAUGCAAAAUGUUAUGUUUGGCGUAAAAGCAACACAGCUCAUCACCCUGAACACACCAUCCCCACUGUCAAACAUGGUGGUGGCAGCAUCAUGGUUUGGGCCUGCUUUUCUUCAGCAGGGACAGGGAAGAUGGUUAAAAUUGAUGGGAAGAUGGAUGGAGCCAAAUACAGGACCAUUCUGGAAGAAAACCUGAUGGAGUCUGCAAAAGACCUGAGACUGGGACGGAGAUUUGUCUUCCAACAAGACAACGAUCCAAAACAUAAAGCAAAAUCUACAAUGGAAUGGUUCAAAAAUAAACAUAUCCAGGUGUUAGAAUGGCCAAGUCAAAGUCCAGACCUGAAUCCAAUCGAGAAUCUGUGGAAAGAACUGAAAACUGCUGUUCACAAAUGCUCUCCAUCCAACCUCACUGAGCUGUUUUGCAAGGAGGAAUGGGAAAAAAUUUCAGUCUCUCGAUGUGCAAAACUGAUAGAGACAUACCCCAAGCGACUUACAGCUGUAAUCGCAGCAAAAGAUGGCGCUACAAAGUAUUAACUUAAGGGGGCUGAAUAAUUUUGCACGCCCAAUUUUUCCGUUUUUGAUUUGUUAAAAAAGUUUGAAAUAUCCAAUAAAUGUCGUUCCACUUCAUGAUUGUGUCCCACUUGUUGUUGAUUCUUCACAAAAAAAUACAGUUUUAUAUCUUUAUGUUUGAAGCCUGAAAUGUGGCAAAAGGUCGCAAAGUUCAAGGGGGCCGAAUACUUUCGCAAGGCACUGUACUUAUGCCACCUUCAAAUGGGGGGACUAGAUACAGGGUGCUUUCAUUUCUAAACAGUAAAACAGAUAUGUAUGAAAAUACCCUCAAAUAAAAGGUGACAUACUGUCGCCUCAUAAAAUAUCUAAAAUGCUGGAGUAUAGAGCCAACGUAAAAAAAAUGUUACCCUCACUGUUCAAAUAAAUACGUAGGGGAGUGUAACUCUUAAGACAUGUCUGGAGACGUCUCAAGGCAUGGUGAUGGCUAGGUAUGAGUAUUUGUAAUGUAGAGAUUUUAAGUUCAUUUAUAAUUUAUUGUUAUUUGGUGACCGAUUUUGUUAUGAUAUUCUUGUCUGGCUUAUGGGUGCUUGGUUUUAGUAUGUGGUGUGAUUCUGUUACAGGAGUAUUUCCGUAUCCCUCUGGCAAGUCUGAGGGCAGUGCUGGGUGCAGUGGACAUCACCACAGUCAGACAGAUACUGCAGUACUUCAGCAGGAACCAGGGAACAUUGCAGGUAAUAUAACACACUUCAUAUCAGUUGUCCUAGACAGGUCUUCCAUGGAAAAUACUAAGAUCACUUGACCUCAGUGGGACAACCUGAUUGAAUACAUUUUAUAAAAUAAUUAAGUAAAAUGUAGCAAAACCGCUCUAUGUUCACACAAGAUAAUCACUUAAUCUCGCUCUCUGUCCCAGUUUACAGAUGACUACCUAGGCACCAUGGUAUCUGUGCUUUUCCAGACCCACUUGGUCAGGGACGGGAGCCUCUUUCCUGAACUGGUACCCCUACUUUCCCUGGUCAACCCUGCAGACAUCCAGUCACUGCCCCCCUUACAGACCAACCUCAUUGUGUAAGUUAAGCAGGCUUCUAAUACAAGUCAUCAUGAGUCAUGAUGUCCUUGUGUGUUGGUCUCUGCAUUAUAGAUGUACGUAUAGUACUGAAUGGCUAUAGAAUCAAAGGUCUUAGGCAGUUAAUUACCCCCUCUAUUCAGACACUCGGGGCGGCAGGGUAUCCUAGUGGUUAGAGCGUUGGACUAGUAACCGAAAGGUUUCAUGUUCAAAUCCCCGAGCUGACAAGGUACAAAUCUGUCGUUCUGCCCCUGAACAGGCAGUUAACCCACUGUUCCUAGGCCGUCAUUGAAAAUAAUAAUUUGUUCUUAACUGACUUGCCUAGUUAAAUAAAGGUACAGUUUAAAAUGUAAAAAACAGACUCCCAAUAUUGGAGUCAUUUUCUAUUUAAACUACUACUUCGGCCUUAAUUUAAAUUGGGUCAUUUGAGUCUCUGAAAGAGAUGUGCUUUCCCAGUCAUGUUUUGCUCUCUGCUUUUUGUUCGGGUUAACAAGUAUGUUCUACAUUCCUCUAUGCUCUCUCUAUCUUCAGGAGAAAUACCAUCAACAGCAACAUCAGGAGCCUGUCGGUGGAGCAACGCAGGGCCUUUGGGAGGUGGUACAGCCGAGCCCUCAGCUCCCUCAACAUGACAGCCGGCGGCCCCUCCUUCAUCAGGGACACUGGUAACCUGAUAGUCUACCUGCCCUUUCACAGCUUCCAGCACCUCUCACCUGCUCAGGUAACAGACACGACACCUCUCUGUGAAACCAGAGCCUCCCCAGCCACAGCCAGGCAGUUGUCAGUGGUCUCCAUUGUGUCAGUGGUUGUGGCCGUAGCCAAUGUUCAAUAAGUAAACAUCGGAAUGCAUCAAUUAAGAAUGGCUAUGUGAAGAAUAGUGAGUGAUCUUUCACUGCUUAAAAUGUGAAUAUGAUCGUUGCAUGUCAGGUCCAAAAGGAUUGGCACCCUUGAUAAAGAUGGGCAAAAAAGACUGUAAAAGUUAAAUAAUACAAAUACUGAGCUAUAUUGUAUAAAGAAUUUGUAUUUAUUCUAUACUAAUACAAUUGCUCAA